rnacentral:misc_RNA from 1 species
UUAUAAUGACACUAACAUUUCCAAGAUCGAUUAAUAUGCCUUCACAAAUACAAUUAAAUCUUAUAAAUGCACUUUAAAUUGCAUAAAAGAGAACUUCUUAAGGUUAACAUAUAACUUUGCUUCCCUAAGAGUAACAAAAUCUUGUCAAAAAUUAUCCAAAUGCACUUCUUUAGGUUGACUGUAGAUCAAAAUAUCAUCAAAAUAAGCUACCAAAAGCUUAUCAAUGAAAGAUUGCAUAACAUGAUUCAUGACACAAAUAAAAAUGUUAGGUACAUUUAACAAUCUGAAAGGCAUCACUAAUCAUUCAUAUAAUCCUUCUUAGAUUUUAAAAGUAGUUUUACAUUCAUUUCCUUGACUAAUGCAGAUUUGAUGAUAACCACUGCUCAGUUUUAGAGAACCAACAAGAACCUACCAAUGAAUUUAACAUAUCCUCUAGUCUAGGAAUUGAAAUCUAUAAUUAACAAUGAUUUUGUUUAUGGCUCUAUUAUGUAUACACAUUCUUCAAUAAUCAUCUUUUUUAGGUGUUAAG